ACAUGUCAUAUUAGGAGACCAAAUCAUAGAAACAUCUCUCGAUAAUAUUAAGUCGGUAAACGUGAGGCAAUUAGAUUGACCCACGUGGCCUUCCAUCGUUAUGAGUAGGAAUCGAUUCCCGGUGUAGGUUGAGUUGGUCGAGUCCCUCGAGACUCACCUAUAUCACGAUUCGCUAUCUUGCUUAUGACAUAGAGAUGUCACCGGUGACCUGAGGGCAUGGUAUGCUUGGUUGAGU
rnacentral:lncRNA from 1 species